AAUGGGGGCAACCCUGAUCUAGCCACGCCGCGUGAGUGAUGAAGGCCUUAGGGUCGUAAAGCUCUUUCGCCUGUGAUGAUAGUGACAGUAGCAGGUAAAGAAACCCCGGCUAACUCCGUGCCAGCAGCCGCGGUAAUACGGAGGGGGUUAGCGUUGUUCGGAAUUACUGGGCGUAAAGCGCGCGUAGGCGGAUUAGAAAGUUGGGGGUGAAAUCCCGGGGCUCAACCCCGGAACUGCCUCCAAAACUGCUAGUCUAGAGUUCGAGAGAGGUGAGUGGAAUUCCGAGUGUAGAGGUGGAAUUCGUAGAUAUUCGGAGGAACACCAGUGGCGAAGGCGGCUCACUGGCUCGAUACUGACGCUGAGGUGCGAAAGUGUGGGGAGCAAACAGGAUU
rnacentral:rRNA from 1 species